rnacentral:tRNA from 1 species
GGAAGGAUAGCCCAUUGGUUAGGGCACUGGUUUGGACUUUAGAGACCUGGGUUUAAGCCCUUAUUCUGCCA